rnacentral:tRNA from 1 species
AGCACCUUGGCGCAGCGGUAGCGCGCAGGGCUCAUAACCCUGAGGUCCUAAGAUCGAAACUUAGAGGUGCUA